GCAUAUCAAUAAGCGGAGGAAAAGAAACCAACAGGGAUUGCCUCAGUAACGGCGAGUGAAGCGGCAACAGCUCAAAUUUGAAAUCUGGCCGCAAGGUCCGAGUUGUAAUUUGUAGAGGAUGCUUUUGGCGAGGUGCCUUCCGAGUUCCCUGGAACGGGACGCCAUAGAGGGUGAGAGCCCCGUACGGUAGGACCACCAAGCCUCUGUAAAGCUCCUUCGACGAGUCGAGUAGUUUGGGAAUGCUGCUCUAAAUGGGAGGUGUACGUCUUCUAAAGCUAAAUACCGGCCAGAGACCGAUAGCGCACAAGUAGAGUGAUCGAAAGAUGAAAAGCACUUUGAAAAGAGGGUUAAAAAGUACGUGAAAUUGUUGAAAGGGAAGCAUUCAUGACCAGACUUGGGCUUGGUUGAACAUCCGGCGUUCUCGCCGGUGCACUCUGCCAGUCCAGGCCAGCAUCAGUUUGCCCCGGGGGAUAAAGGCGGCGGGAAUGUGGCUCCCUUCGGGGAGUGUUAUAGCCCGUCGUGUAAUGCCCUGGGGCGGACUGAGGAACGCGCUUCGGCACGGAUGCUGGCGUAAUGGUCAUCAUGACCCGUCUUGAAACACGGACC
rnacentral:rRNA from 1 species